rnacentral:rRNA from 1 species
GUGCCAGCCGCUGCGGUAAUACGAAGGGGCUAGCGUUGUUCGGAUUUACUGGGCGUAAAGCGCACGUAGGCGGACUAAUAAGUCAGGGGUGAAAUCCCGGGGCUCAACCCCGGAACUGCCUUUGAUACUGUUAGUCUUGAGUAUGGUAGAGGUGAGUGGAAUUCCGAGUGUAGAGGUGAAAUUCGUAGAUAUUCGGAGGAACACCAGUGGCGAAGGCGGCUCACUGGACCAUUACUGACGCUGAGGUGCGAAAGCGUGGGAGCAAACAGGAUUAGAUACCCUGGUAGUCCACGCCGUAAACGAUGAAUGUUAGCCGUUGGGAGUUUACUCUUCGGUGGCGCAGCUAACGCA